UGAAGGCAGGCUGCCCAGCAGACACUCGAUGACACUCUACAUGGAAACAGUUAACAGCUCCUGAAAGGAGAAAUCCUGUUCACUUUUAAUCUCGAAUUCCAAGAACUGAGAGAGUUCUUGGAUUUGUUUGGGCCACAGGCCCCUCCCUCAGUGAAACAUGGUGAUUCCACGGAGAUAAGACUGACCAGGGCUAGGUCGUCUACUACCCCUGACGUGGAAGGAGGGCUCAUCUGCGGCCCCUGAUGAAGACAGGGAGAGGCUGUCUGGGCAUCCCACAAGUGAAAAGGCCCAGGAUGCUAGGGCUGCAAGCAGACGGCACUGGGACUGUGAAGAGCAGGGCGUGCACCCAGAACAGUAUGUGCCCAGGCAUGAACAUGGGAACCGAUAGUUUGGCAAAGCUGGAGGCCAGAGCGGCUACCCACUGUCCCGGGCCACUGUUGUCUGUACAGUGAGAACAGACUGACGAGUAGCUAGGCUCAUGACCAUGAGUGUAAACAUCAAGGAAUCUUCCCCCAAAACAAAAGAUGAGAAGGAAGAAGAAGAGGAGGAGGAGACAGCAGCAAAUAGCAGCCACCCCCAGGGAUUAAAAAAAGUUGGUCUGUGUAA